GGAGCGGAAGUGCGGCUUUUGGAAUGAGCCGCGGAGUGUAGCCAUGGCACCUCCGGGAGGAAAGAUCAAUCGUCCCCGGACGGUGACUGAACUGUGGGAGUGGGAACUGCGUCUUUGUUUCCCUUUGCUUCCCGGCAUUUUCCUCUUUGGAAACAGGAUUAGUUAGGGGCUGGGGUUGUUAGGUGCGGAGGAUCCCGGGUGGGUGUGCAGAACCUUACAUGCGCAUCUUUUUCUUCCGCAGGAGCUGAAGAAGAAGUUGUUCAAGCGCCGCAGGGUAUUAAGCAGGGAUCGGCGACGGAAACGCCAGGUGGUCGGGGCUGUGAUAGACGAAGGGCUGACUACGAAGCACCACCUCAAGAAGCGGGCGUCCAGUGCUCGUGCCAACAUCACGCUGUCUGGGAAGAAGCGCAGGAAACUCUUGCAGCAGAUCCGACUUGCCCAGAAAGAAAAAGCAGCCAUGGAAGUGGAAGCCCCCUCCAAGUCAACCAGGACUAGUCAGCCACAGCCCAAGCAACAAAAGAAGAUAAAAGCUCCCCAGGACGUAGCUAUGGAGGAUCUUGAAGAUAAGAGCUAAAAUCCCUGCCUCUUCUACCAGAAGAUGGUCAACAGCACUGAGAAAGAUUUGGAGGAACUUUGGAAAAAAUAUUAGCAUAUUUCACUUUCCUAGACACCUCUUCUACAGCGGACCCUGACCUCCCCUGGAGGUGUAUAUUGGGACCGAAGAGGACACAGAGAAAGACUGGAGGGCCACCUCUAGCAGUCAACUCCUUUUGUAAUAAAGCUUUAGUGCGUUCACCGUGUGGGAUGAAGUGC